rnacentral:rRNA from 1 species
CGGCCGCUGGCGGCGUGCUUAACACAUGCAAGUCGAACGGAAAGGCCCCUUUGGGGGUACUCGAGUGGCGAACGGGUGAGUAACACGUGAGUAACCUGCCCUUGACUUCGGGAUAACUUCAGGAAACUGGGGCUAAUACCGGAUAGGAAUCCUUGCUGCAUGGUGGGGGUUGGAAAGCUUCGGCGGUUUUGGAUGGACUCGCGGCUUAUCAGCUUGUUGGUGGGGUAGUGGCUUACCAAGGCUUUGACGGGUAGCCGGCCUGAGAGGGCGACCGGCCACAUUGGGACUGAGAUACGGCCCAGACUCCUACGGGAGGCAGCAGUGGGGAAUAUUGCACAAUGGGCGGAAGCCUGAUGCAGCAACGCCGCGUGCGGGAUGACGGCCUUCGGGUUGUAAACCGCUUUCAGCAGGGGCGAAGCUUGUGGUGACGGUACCUGCAGAAGAAGCACCGGCUAACUACGUG